rnacentral:rRNA from 1 species
CCUACGGGUGGCAGCAGUGAGGAAUAUUGGUCAAUGGGCGAGAGCCUGAACCAGCCAAGUCGCGUGAGGGAAGACGGUCCUAUGGAUUGUAAACCUCUUUUGCCGGGGAGCAAAAAGCGGUACGUGUACCGCAUCGAGAGUACCCGGAGAAAAAGCAUCGGCUAACUCCGUGCCAGCAGCCGCGGUAAUACGGAGGAUGCGAGCGUUAUCCGGAUUUAUUGGGUUUAAAGGGUGCGCAGGCGGAGGCACAAGUCAGCGGUAAAAUCGCGGGGCUCAACCCCGCUCCGCCGUUGAAACUGUGUCCCUUGAGUGCGCGAAGGGUAGGCGGAAUGCGUGGUGUAGCGGUGAAAUGCAUAGAUAUCACGCAGAACUCCGAUCGCGAAGGCAGCCUACCGGCGCGCAACUGACGCUCAUGCACGAAAGCGUGGGUAUCGAACAGGAUUAGAUACCCUUGUAGUC